CAUCAGCUCUGCUGCUCUGCAGGUGGGACCCGGGAUCCCUCCCGCUGCCUCCGCCCCCGCUCCAUCCCUUCCCAGGACUGCACAGCCCGGUCCCAGAUCAGAUUUCGGGAGACGCGUCUCUAUCUGAUGCCUUCGGGCUGAGCAGGAUGAUGCUCGGAAACAUCCAAUUCACCCGGGGAUCGGAGGCCGCGGGAAACCACCCAAACCCAGGAGAGGCUGCGCCUCUUGGGACCCGGGGCCAAAGCCUGCUGGGCUGUCGGAGGUGGUUUGGAAGUGGCAUCGCCUUUGGCCAAGACCGCGGGUUCUGCGGACAGAGAGGAGCCCUGGGUUCGCUUUCUGCCUCAUCUAUUUUCAAGCUAGGUGACCUUGGGCAAGGUGAGGAGACCAGAGGUCGGGCCCAAGUCAGACAUGGAGAUGCCCGCAGAGCAGGACGGAGCACAGGCUUCGGUGGCAUCACCCGUGUCCCCUCAGGUAAGCCGUCAAGAGUAGGGUUGAGGACCAGUUCUCGCCGUGAUGAAAGGAGAGAGAAGAGUGAUUUCUCUGUGGAGGCUAGAGCCCCCUCUGGCACCUUCCUGAUGCCCCCAAACUGCAUGCAAGAUAAUUCUACACCUCCUGGUAGAAAUGGUCUCCUCCUUGGACCUUCUCCUCAGUGUCUCCUCUCUAAGACCCUCCAUGGGGAACUUCCUCCCUUGUAGCACUGGAGGCAUUUAGCACUGCUGGCUGUUCUCCGGCCCUUGAACUUUGCUGUCUCUCUGGCAUUUGGCCCCAGGGUCUGUGGCUCCCUGCAUCACUCCUGCACUCAUCUCUCUUCUGUCUUGCCCGUGCAGGUUCUCCCUAGAGUUUAUUCCUCCUUCUCUGGCCGAUCUCACUUAGUACCUUUCACAUGCAGAUGAUUCCCAAACUUUUAUCCCCAGUGUCAUCUCUCUUCCAGGCUCCAGACUCCUGUUGUUAAUGGGUGUGUUGACAGCUCCACCUGAAACUCUGGAAGGCACUGGAAAUAACAUGUUGCAGGCAGGUUGCUUUGUUUUCCUUCUAAACCUGCUCGUCCCUCCCUUUCCCCUGUCUUGCCUAAGGCUGUUACCCUCCAUUCUACUUCCACUUUGAAGUCAAACUUGACACCUCUCUGCUUCUUUCUUACCAGUUUCUGAGCAGUCACAAAUCAACCUGUCCUUUCUUAGAAAUGCCUUUCUAAUUAAACAUCUUAGAAACCCACUCAUCCUCGCCCGCUGGGCUGUGUGGUUUCUUUUCUUUUUCCUCAUUGAUCUCUCACCUCUCUUCAGCCCAGCCUCUUCAUCAUCUGAAACCUAAACCCAAGCAUGCUACUUUCUAUGUUAUGAAACCCCUACGAGAAUAAAAAUAAAAACGACGAGGAGAAUUUUUUAAAAAGUAUAACCUUCAAAGCUGAUGAGGAAGCUGUUAGACAGGCAGUCUCAUUUAUUGUUAAUAGAAGUGCAAUUUCUCAAAUCAUUUUAGAAUGCAGUGUAAUGAUACAUCAUAAGCUUAAAUAUAUUCAGUCUUUGACCCAGUAAUUCCAUUUCUGAGAAGCUAAGGAAAUAGCCAUCUAUGAAGAAGCUUCAUGCACAAAGAUAUUUAUUACGUCAUUAUUUAUACAGGGAAAAAUUGGAAAUAACCUAACUAUAUUACAGUAGAAGUAAUCUAUGAGACUGGAUGGCCUAUAAUACAGCCAUUAAAAAUAACAGUUACUCAUGGAAAAAUAAAACAAAGUAAAAUGCACUAGGGAGUUCCUGCUGUGGUGCAGUGGUCAUGAAUCCGAAUCCGACUAGUAUCCAUGAGGAUGUAGGUUUGAUCCCUGGCCUUGCUUAGUAGGUUAAGGAUCUGGCAUUGCAAAGGAGGCUGUGAUCCCACGUGUGGGAUUGCUGUGGCUGUGAUGUCGGCUGUCAGCUCUAGCUCUGAUUUGACCUCUAGGCUGGGAACUUCCAUAUGCCAUGGAUGUGGUAAAAGAAAACCAAAACCAAAACCAAAACCAAAACAGACUAAAAUAUUAGUAAUUAUUACUUCUAACUGGUGGGAUUAUGAAUGAUUUUCUUUUUGUUCUUUUUUAAAAAAUUUUCUUUAUUUUCUAAAAUUUCUUACAUAAGUAGCUAUUAUAAUUAGAUAUGAAAUUUAUUUUCAAGGAAUGCUUAGAAUAAGUUUACAGUAACUGGAAAAAAAAAGCAGCAUACCACAUUGUACACAAAACAUAAUCUCAAUACAAACACAAAUCAGAGCAUAGGAAAUACAACAAAUUUUCAUAUUGAUUGCUUCUAGGUGACAACACCAUGUGGAAUUUUUUGUUGAUUUCCUGAUUUUCCAACUAGAGUGGGUAAAGUUAGUGUCCCACUAGUGUGUGUGCAUGUGCACAAGUACACGCACAUGAUAUUAGGAAGCUCUUCAUUGCCCACAGAUUUUUUAAAAAAUUUUUAUUUUAUAUUGAAGUAUAGCUGAUUUACAAUGUUGUGUUAAUUUCAGAGGCAGAGCAAAGUAAUGCAGUUAUACAUAUACCCAUUCUAUUUCAGAUUAUUUUCCUAUAUAGGUUAUUAAAGAAUAUACAUAUGUGUGUGUGUGUAUGUAAUUUUUUUUGGACUUUUUUUUAGGGCCGCACCCGCAGCAUAUGGAGGUUCCCAGGCUAGGGGUAGAAUCAGAGCUGUAGCUGCCGGCCUACAACACAGCCACAGCAACAUGGGAUCUGAGCUGUGUCUGUGACUUACACCACAACUCACAGCAAUGCUAGAUCCUUAACCCACUGAGCAAGGCCAGGGAUUGAACCUGUGUCUUCAUGGAUGCCCAUCAGAUUAAUUUCCACUGAGCCACAAUGGGAACUCCCAUACAUUCUUUUGCACAUUCUUUUCCAUUAUAAUUUAUCACAGGAUAUUGAAUAGAGUUCCCUCUGCUAUACAGUAGGACCUUGUUGUUUAUCCAUUCUGCAUACAAUAGUUUUGCAUCUGCUAAUCCCAAACUUUCAAUCUAUCCCUCGUCCACCACCCUCUCUCUUGACAACCAUAAAUUUGUUCUCUGUGUCUAUUUGUUUCAUAGAUAAGUUCAUUUGAGUCAUAUUUUCAAUUCCACCUAUAAGUGAUGGGAUAUGGUAUUUGUCUUUCUCUUCUGACUUACUUCACUUAGUAUGAUAAUAUCUAGAUCCAUCCAUUGUUGCUGCAAAUGACAUUUUUCAUGCUUUUUAUGCCUGAGUAAUAUUCCAUGGUAUAUAUGUACCACAUCUUCUUUAUCCAUUCCUCUGUCGAUGGACAUUUAGGUUGUUUGGCUAUUGUAAAUAGUGCUGCAAUGAACACUGGGGUGCAUGAAUCUUUUCGAAUUAUGGUUUUCUCUGGAUGUAUGCCCAGGAGUGAGAUUACAGGAUCAUAUUUACCAAUUUAAAAAUUAGGUCAUUUUGGGAUUCCGUUUGCGGCUCAGUGAUUAACAAACCCGAUUAGGAUCUAUGAAGAUACAGGUUCAAUCCCUGACCUUGCUCGGUGGGUUAAGGAUCUGGCAUUGCUGUGAGCUGUGGUGUAGGUCGUAGACGUGGCUUGGCUCCUACGUUGCUGUGGCUGUGGCUGUGGCAGGCAGCUGUAGCUCCAAUUUGACCCCUAGCCUGAGAACCUCCAUAUGCCAAGGGUGCAGCCCCGAAAAGAAAAAAAAAAUUUUUUUGGGUCAUUUGUCUUCUCAUUGUUGUGUUUGUUUGUUUAUUAAAAAAAAAUUGGGGAGUUCCCAUCGUGGCGCAGUGGUUAACGAAUCCGACUAGGAACCAUGAGGUUGCAGGUUCGGUCCCUGCCCCUGCUCAGUGGGUUAACGAUCCGGUGUUGCCGUGAGCUGUGGUGUAGGUUGCAGACGCGGCUCGGAUCCCGCGUUGCUGUGGCUCUGGCGUAGGCCGGUGGCUACAGCUCCGAUUGGACCCCUAGCCUGGGAACCUCCAUAUGCCGCGGGAGCGGCCCAAGAAAUAGCAACAAUAACAACAACAACAACAACAACAACAACAACAACAACAAAAGACAAAAGACAAAAAAAAAAAAAAAAUUGGGGGGCGGGGGUCACACGUGCAGUAUAUGGAAGUUCUCAGGCCAGGACUGACUCUGAGCCAUAGCUGUGACUAUGCUUCAGCUGAGGCAAUGCCAGAUCCUUAACCCACUGUACUGGACUGGAUAUUGUCGGGCUGGAUAUUGAACCCAUGCCAUUGCAAAGACAACACUGGACCCUUAACCAGCUGCACCCCAGUGGAAACUCCUGUAAGUGUUCUUUUUAUUUAUUUGUUUUUAUUUUUAAAAAUUUUAGGUUUUUUUUUUUUUGUCUUUUUAGGGCCACACCCAUGGCUUACGGAAGUUCCCAGGCUAGGGUCAAAUUGGAGCUGUAGCUCCUGGCCUAUGCCACAGCCAUAGCAACGCCCAGAUCCGAGCUGCAUCUGCGACCUAUACCACAGCUCAUGGCAAUGCUGGAUCCUUAACCAGGUGAGUGAGGCCAGGGAUUGAACCUGAGUCCUCAUGGAUACUAGUUGGGUUCGUUACCACUGAGCUACAGUGGGAAUUUCUAAAUGUUCUUUUUAUAUUCUGGACCCUAGUUCCUUAUCGGAGAUCCGAGUUGCAAAUACUUUCUCCCAUUCUAUGGGUUGUCUUUUUACUUUCUUGGUGGUCUCCUUUGAAGCACAGAAGUUUAAAUUUGAUGAAGUCCAAUUUAUUUUUUCUUUUGUCUUGUGUUUUGGUGACAUAGCUAAUUUAUUAUUUAGGAUUUCAGACUUCUUGGCCUAAUAAUCCAAGGUCAAGAAAAUUUACACUUAAGUUUUCUUCUUAGAGUUUUGCAGUUUUAACACUUACAUUUAGUCUUUGAUCCAUUUUGAUUACACUCAUUGUAUAUGGUGUGAGUGAAAGUCCAGUUUCAUCCUUUUCCAGAUGGAUAUUCACUUAUACCAGCACCAUUUGUUUAAAAAGACUAUUCUUUUCUCGUUGAAUUAUUUUAGUAUGCUCACUGCAAACCAACUGACCAUAGCUAGAAGGGCCAGAUGACAUUUUUAGCUUUAUUUCUAACCUCAGCGGACUUCUCAAUUUGCCGAGCUUUCCUCAUCCUCGAUACCUUUGGAACGAAUGGUCCUUCACCUGACUUGCACGUGUCUUAGUUGCUGACCAUUCUCAUUCUCCAGAUAUAAUCUGAACCCACAGCCUUCCCCUCUUCUCCAGGCAGUCGGAUUCAGGGCCCUUGGAGUAUUUUGCUCAGAUCUCUAUCACUGCUCUCUUUACACUGUA
rnacentral:lncRNA from 9 species